rnacentral:lncRNA from 1 species
CCUCCUUACAACUUUAACCUAUUGCCAACACCAAUGGAAAAUAAUGCAAAAUCAAAUAACUAGAAAUAAAUUCAAAGGCAAUAGAGCAUACAAAAUUCAAUUUUCAAACAUAAUGAUGACAAAUUUUGCGAUGAUGAUGACAAAUUGGGCUUUGUGGGGUUAAGCCAAGAAAAGCCGAAAAGGGGAGGAAUGGGUUUUGGUCUUCAAAAUCACGUAUGCUGUUCAAGCCAUUGUUCUCAUCUCCACUCUUGCUUUCUUCUUCCUUUGCUGCGGCUGCACUUCUAAUCUCCUUUUCUUCUUCCUUUGGUGCUCUUUUUCCUUUGUUGUUUGGUUUUUUAUUUUGUAUUCUUUAAUUAAUUUUUUAUUCUUUCUUCAUCGAUCUUCAUCGCCUUUGAUGAUGAUGAACAUGAACACAGCAAAGUAGCGAAGCAAUGGUGAGUGGCGACGAUGAUUUGAUGAAGAGAAUGGCUGAACGGAGAGAAAAUGGUUUGGCUUGAUGAUGAUUUGAUGAAGAGAAGGGAGAGAGUGGAAAUGUUUGGUAGCGGCGGUGAAUUAGGGCAAGGCUAAAUUUUUUUUUUAAUUUUUCAAUUUAUAUUAAAUACAGAUGUCCGGGUCCGGGUUCUGGAUUUACGGGUUCACCCAAACCCAGAACCGGACCCGGAUACAUCCAGGUUGAUAAAAUUCAAUCCGGAUUCCGGAUUUAAUUUGUUUCGGUACGGGUUGAAUCCGGACCGGAUUUUCCGGGUUCGUCCGAGUCCGAUCCGGGUCCGGGUUAAAUUGUCAUCCCUAGCGCUGAUGAACAAUCCUAGCAUGAAACAACCCUACGGAAGUUUUUUCCCCAAUUCAGGCUAAACUUUCC